GGGGGAUUAGCUCAGUUGGGAGAGCGCCGCUCUUGCACGGCGGAGGUCGUCGGUUCGAACCCGUCAUCCUCCACCA
rnacentral:tRNA from 1 species